AUACGGAGGAUGCGAGCGUUAUCCGGAUUUAUUGGGUUUAAAGGGUGCGUAGGCGGACGAUUAAGUCAGCUGUGAAAUGCCCGCGCUUAACGCGGGAAGUGCAGUUGAUACUGGUUGUCUGGAGUGCCGUUGCCGUGGGGGGAAUGUGUAGUGUAGCGGUGAAAUGCAUAGAUAUUACACAGAACGCCGGUUGGGAAGACCCUGAGCGAAGCGGGAACUGACGGUGGGGCAGGAAAGGGUGGAGACCGAACUGGAUUAGAUGCCCUGGUAGGCCGCGCAGGAAACGAUGAUGACACACCGUGGGCAAUAGACCGCCGGUUGCCAAGCGAAAGCGAUAAGUCAUCCCCCGGGGGAGUACGACCGCAAGGUGGAACCUCAAAUGAAUUGACGGG
rnacentral:rRNA from 1 species